rnacentral:lncRNA from 1 species
ACACCAGAACGGUGCAACUCCUGGUGGACAGCAAGUCCGCCCUGGCCCUGGCAAAGAACCCCGUGUUCCACGAACGGAGCAAGCACAUCCGACUGAGGUAUCACUUCAUCCGCAGCUGUGUGGAAGAAGGGAGCAUCGAGGCGAGCUACAUCAACACCAAGGAUCAGCUCGCAGACCUGCUCACCAAGCCCCUUGGGAGGGUCAAGUUCCUCGAACUUUGCUCCAGGAUUGGGAUGAUUCAACUCUCCCACAAGACGACGUACAAGACUUAGGGGGAGAAUGAUGGAUAAGUCUGUGUACUAGGGUCCUUGUGGGGCUGCAGCACAUGGUCCUUGUGGCAGUUAAGAGGAUAAAGUCCUGGACCAUCAAGGACUGGCUGUUAGGAUAGAGUUCUGUUCUUGACCAUCAAGGACUGUCAGUUAGCAUCUUAGACUAGCAUCUUAGACUAGCAUCUUAGACUGGCAUCUUAGCAGCAUCUUAGCAUAUGCCUUGGCUGGCUAGCAGCCUAUAAAUAUGUAUCCCCAACCCCUCAGGUUGGCUAUGGCAUUGUGUGAGAAAUAAACCAACGAAAAUUGUCCCAACUCUCCUAGUGUCAUCCACAACUAUCAAUGCUCAGGCUGAAAGGUCUAACAGGAGGACAAGGAGAAGGAGGCGAUGAUCCAUCACUGUAGGAUGGGCCAUGUAUCUUUUGAUAAGAUGAGUAGAAUCUUUCCGGAUGUUAUGUGUGGGAUAGGCAAGGGCAAGUUGACAUGUGAUGCUUGCGAAUAUGCCAAACACACACGAGCCUCAUAUGUGAGUAAGGGGCUUAGGAGCAUAUCUCCUUUUAUGCUUAUUCAUUCGGAUGUAUGGAAGAGCCCAGUUGUAUCAAUGAAUGGAAUGAAAUACUUUGUUACAUUCAUCGAUUGCUAUUCUCGUAUGACUUGGAUUUAUUUGAUGCGUCACAAAGAUGAGGUGUUUAGCUGUUUUCAGAAUUUCCAUGCCUUGGUGAAGAAUCAGUUUCAGGUGCAGGUGCAGGUGAUCAGGACUGACAAUGGGACAGAGUAUGUGAACAACACAUUUGGGGCUUACUUGUCUGAUCACGGUAUUCUUCAUCAAACUUCAUGCCCAGACACCCCUCCUCAGAAUGGAGUGGCAGAAAGGAAAAAUCGGCAUAUUCUUGAGGUUGCCCGGUCAUUGAUGUUUACGAUGAAUGUGCCCAAAUUCUUGUGGAGUGAAGCAGUUAUGACAGCCACAUACUUGAUCAACAGGACACCAUCAAGAAUACUAAGCAUGAAAUCUCCGUGUGAGCUAGUAUAUGGAGAAACUAAGUUUGUUGUUCCCCCAAAGUUGUUUGGCAGUACUUGUUUUGUUCGAGAUCACCGUCCUUCUGUUGGAAAACUUGAUCCGCGGGCAGUGAAGUGUAUUUUUCUGGGCUAUUCUUCUAGUCAGCAGGGAUAUAAAUGUUGGUGUCCCUCAGAGAAACGCAGGUUUGUCAGUAUGGACGUAACCUUCAGGGAGUCUGAGCCAUUCUAUGGUGAGCCAACAGAUCUAAGUGUGUUGUUUCAAGAGCUUGACCAUUUCCACUCUGUGCAAGAUGGUCAAGAGGGGGAGAAGGCUGUAUCUCACACUCACGCGGAUUCUGUGGGCACUAACAUUGAUGAUGAUGAUGUGCAGGUUCAAGUCCAGCCAAUUGUGGGUACAAUUUCGGUUGGUACUCUCACUGAUGGUGAUGUGCAGGUACGGGUCCAACCAACCGUGGGUUCCAUUCAGAUUGGUAAUCUCCAGCUCCCUGUUCGAGAUCGGUGGCAGAAGAUCCCCCUAGUGUACUCUCGGCGAGAGCCACAAGUGCCACAGGUGCAUGACUCAUCUGACACUCGUCUGGUAUAUUCUCGGCGGCAGCCACUUGUGCAGGAGGGGGAGCAACAAGUGCAGGGGGAGCAGUCAGUGCAGGGGGAGCAGCAAGGCAGUGGUGCAAGCUCAUCUGACACAGUGGAGCUACCUAUUGCGUUGCGAAAGGGGACACGUGAAGCGGCUGAGAAGGCUUUACCACUGGAGUUUUUGGAUGAUCAUGACAUUGGAAAUUUUGUGUCUUAUGAGGCUUUGUCUCCUUCCUAUAGAGUGUUUGUUGCCUCUCUUCAAACUGUGUCAAUCCCAAAGGAUUGGAAGGCUGCAAAGCAAGAUCCGAAGUGGCAUGAAGCAAUGAUAGAAGAGUUGGAAGCACUGAGGAAAAAUAAGACGUGGGUGCUAACCACAUUGCCGGCAGGAAAGAAAGCAGUGAGUUGUAAGUGGAUCUAUACAGUGAAGCAGAAUCCUGAGGGGAAGGUGGAACGGUAUAAGGCCAGAUUGGUCGCCAGAGGAUAUAGUCAAACUUAUGGAAUUGACUAUGACGAGACGUUUGCUCCAGUGGCAAAGAUGAACACAGUAAGAAUAUUGGUUUCCUGUGCUGCAAACUUUGGGUGGAAAUUGCAUCAAUUAGAUGUCAAGAAUGCCUUCUUGCAUGGUGAGUUGCAGGAAGAAGUGUACAUGGAGAUACCACCAGGUUUUGGUACUUCACUGACAACGGGGAAGGUAUGCAGGCUGAAGAAAUCCUUGUAUGGACUGAAGCAAUCGCCGAGGGCUUGGUUUGAUAGGUUCAGGCGUGCUGUCCGUGCUAUGGGGUAUGGUCAAUGUAAUGGUGAUCACACGGUGUUCUACAGACACUCACUCUCUAAUCGAAAGAUCACCAUUCUUGCAGUUUAUGUGGACGACAUUAUCAUCACCGGAGAUGAUGAGGAGGAAAUAAAGAGAUUGAAGGGGUGUCUGAGCAAUGAGUUUGAGGUGAAGGAUUUGGGCAACCUAAAAUACUUCCUUGGGAUUGAAGUGGCCCGGACAAAGAAGGGAAUAUCUUUGUGCCAAAGGAAAUACACCUUGGAUCUCUUGAGUGACAUGGGCAUGAUGGGAUGCCGUGCAACCCCUACGCCGAUUGAACAAAAUCAUCAAGUGACAGCUCAGUCAGGCGAGUUGGUGAAUAAGGAAGAUUAUCAGAAACUGGUUGGGAGGUUAUUGUACUUGUGUCAUACCAGGCCUGACAUUACGUAUGCCGUGGGUGUGGUGAGCAGAUACAUGCAUGAACCAAGGAGUGGGCAUCUUGAUAUUGUGCACAGAAUUCUGAGAUACUUGAAGGGGACUCCAGGUAAAGGGUUGUGGUUUGCGAAGAGUGGACAUCUUGAAGUGGAUGGCUAUAGUGACUCUGAUUGGGCCAGUUGUCAAGAUGAUAGAAGAUCAACUUCUGGCUACUGUGUGUUUGUGGGAGGAAACUUGGUGUCGUGGAGAAGCAAGAAACAACUUGUUGUGUCUAGAUCAACAGCAGAAGCCGAGUAUAGAGCUUUAUCUCAAGGGUUAUGUGAGAUGCUCUGGGUGAAGUACCUACUGAGCGAGUUGAAACUUCUGAGGAAGGGACCCUUGAAGGUGUGGUGUGACAAUCAGUCAGCUAUAGCUAUUGCUAAUAACCCAGUUCAGCAUGAUAGGACAAAACAUGUGGAAAUUGAUCGCUUCUUCAUUAAGGAGAAACUUGAUGCUGGUAUCAUCAGUCUUACUCACGUCAGCUCUGGGCAGCAGUUUGCAGAUUGCUUGACAAAGGGACUGGGAACGAAGGACUGUAACUUGGCAUGUGACAAGAUGGGGAUGAUAGAUAUCUACCACCCAUCUUGAGGGGGAGUGUUGAACCGGUAUGGGCCCAAGCCCAUCAAGCCUUGUCACUUAGGGCCCAAGCCCAUGUGGAGGUACUGACCUAGAAGGAGGCAUCCAGUCCCCCCGUUCUCAGGAGAGCCGCCACACACACAUACGACACAGCCAAAACAAGGUGAGUCUGCGACACAACAAUCCUUUCGCGCUUUCUUGAAGAAAAUAAUUUUAGCAACAAAAUAUCGAUAUUAUGCUUUUAAGUUACAAACUACAGUAUUUGCCUUCGCAUUUUUUACAAAAUUCCUGUUUAGUACUAAGAAAAGAGCGUAAUAUCCCAUAAAAACAAAAGGGUAUAAUACCCCCAGUCCAUGUUUGGCCCAGGAAGGUUGGUUACUGCUGUGUUACUCCCCCACGCGGCUACUUGUGUAGUUUAGAGAAGCAUAUUUGUGCUAAGGAUAUCUAUCAUCCAUUCCUGUUGGUUUGGGUUGGACAUACCUAGGAUCGCCAAUCAUUUGAUACUUAUAUCAUAUAGGAGUAGUUCUAGUUUGAUUAAUUUUCUUCUGAUCCAGACUUCAGGCAUACAGGAGGAUAAAGGAGGGUAUCCUGUUCCUAUCCUCCCAAACGUAAGUGCCAGUGUGUUGCACAUGAAUGUUGAAGUCCAUCUAGUAAGACUUCCAUAUGUGACUUCUACAAGUAUACGGACACGGAUAUUAGAUUAAAUGCAAAAGCAUACCAGUUAAGCACCUGUUUGUCUUGAAACUUUCAAAACCAUAUAUGUCCAGCACACCAAUCAAAAUCUUUGAGUCUGGAUCUUGGCCAAUGGAACUAUUGAUUUUAUUUACAAGCCUGUAACAGUGGGGAACACAGUAUUCAUAACUAAUCUUGUCUACGCCAGAUAUACAGAAGCACAAAGAAACCUUCCAAAAUGAUGGUUUCCAGACUUACCAAUCAAACAAGCGCGAGUAAACAAUCCUAGACAAUGCAUCUCUGCUAAGAGCUGCACCCUUUGCAUCUAAAUUUUUUGUAAUACUCUCUCCACGUGUUGCCAUAACACGCUUGCACAAAGAUUCCUCAAGACCCUUUGCAUCGCACCUGCAGAAUGUUUGCCGGUGAAUGUUUGUUCAUAAAAAGUAUGCAAGAAGGAACUUUCUGAAAAUAUUCAAAAGAAAAUACUAAAUAAAUAUAUACAUGAAAAGCUCAGCUGCUGUCUUAAGAUGGAACUGAGAUUUCUCAUCUUUGGGUGCAGAGGAAUCUUCUUCCUUUCCUUCUCCAAAUUCUACAUUCCCCAAAUGAAGAAUAGCAGCUACAACUUUGAAUAUUGCAUCCUAAAAGACAUGUCAAAUUGUAUGUCAAAAGACUGUUCCUCUGCUGCUGAUGUACAAAACUGGUUGCUGGUGAAAUUGGUCGUACCUGUUCCUCAUUACUCAUACCUACAAUACCCAUAGCUCUUCUGGUUUCGACAUAUUCUUUGGAGUCAUCAAACCCAUUAAGUUCAAUGCAAUUAGACUGGUUGAGAUAGCGAAAUGUUUUAGCCUCUCCCAAUUUAUAUUUCGCUCGUUCCUGAUAAUCAUAUUCAAAUAUCAAAGCUAUAGAUCAGUGCACUACAUAUGAUUUAUAUAGAACACUCGAAUUUACAAAGGGUUGCCCAACGUUAAAUAACAAAAGGCGGACCAGAUGAUGUAACAAAUCAAUAAAAAUGCUAAGUAGAUGAUUUACAGUUGCAAAUCAACAUCUUAAUGUCUUAGUUCCAUCUUACAAUUGCUACUCAUCUUAUUUGAAAAUCUAAUAUCUCUAAAAGAACAAUUUACUUGCGAGAAAUGCAUGAGAAACUAUAUCUUUCUUGAGAUGAUUAUGUUUAAACCUAUUUUACAGAAUGCAGAAGCAAAGUUUCAGCCGGUAGCGGUUAGCCUCUUUAUGCGUGAGCGCCCUGAGGUUUUUACGAAUAUCUUGAGUUUUUACAGUGCGGAAUAGGAUAUGCUUCAGAUUAGUGGGUAUUGUAGUCAAUUGUUGUACAGCAGUUGCGAACAAAAUAUAAGUUAAACAAAAUGUAGUAAUUCACAAAUAAAUAAUGUGGUUCCAAGAAAAUUCAGAAGAAGACCAUAGUGAACAGGAUCUUACUUCUGGUGCAGCACACAGCAUGUAAAAGCAGUGAUAGUUCCUUUCUGGGUCAGAUAUUUGACAGACACGUGACCUUUCCAGAAGAUAAGUCCUUAUGGCGGCUCCUGAAAUCUUCCCGUACUGGUCAAACUGAAUCUCAACAAAUUUGCCAAACCGACUGCAGAAUCAAGAAAGGGAAUAAGAUGUAAAGCAAAAAUCCUAUGAAGAUAAUACAUUGAAGUUGUGUAAGUAAAUCAAUGCUAGUUCAUUACCUUGAAUUAUUAUUCCUAACUGUUUUUGCAUUGCCGAAUGCCUCAAGAACAGGGUUGGACUGUGUCAGGUAAGUAGAGCAUGUCAGAACAUAAUGUGAAUUACUACAUACUAGUGCUUCUUAACCACUUUUUUAGAACUUGCCAGGUGCGCUUGUGCUACCAGCAAAAGAAGGGCACUGAGAAACGCACCUCUAGGAUUUGUUCUUGCACUGACCUUCCUUCAGCUUUAGCUUUACCACCCAUAAAAGCAAGAUACUGCAUAAGACUUUUAGUGCUUUCUGUCUUACCAGCUCCACUCUCUCCACUCACUAAUAUUGCUUGGCUGAUACGAUCGUUGAUCAUAAGUCUGGGAAGAAUAAAGAUAGGGUGCGAAUUGGUUAUUAUUGUCAGGUAAAAUGUUGAAUCUGAGAAACUGCAGCGGCAGUGGGGGACGAACGCACCUAUACGCACGGUCGGUGAUAGCAAAUGGAUGGGGACUCAGCUCACCGAAUUCUGCUCCUUUGUAAAUUCCCAUCAUGUGGUUGUUAUAGAGGUGGGGGAGUCUUUGGAAUGGAUUCACAGCUAUCAAAAUAUUCCCAGUGUAAGUCUGGAAGAAGAAUUUAAUCCAUUAGAGAAGCUGCAAGAAGAUGAAUAGUAUCUCAAAUGAAAAAGGUACUUUUGUGCACAUGAAGAAGGUACGUAGUUGCUCAGAGCAUUUUUCAUGAUGGAAUUCCACUGGCUCAUGGAAAAUUAACCUGGAUGUCAAUUUGUUGUGGGACUCAACUUACGUAUAUCUCAUUGAGGGCGUAUCUGGACUUGAGGUUCUGGAGCACUCCUGGCUCGUGCAGAUAGGCGAGCCUGGUCAUAUCCUCGACACCACCACGCGGGGAUUCCGUGUCCUUGGGAAAGGCGGUCGAGACAUUAACGGUGGCCUUCUUCCCGUUGGUGCAGUUUAUGACAAGGUCCUCCCCGUUGACCUCCUCCACCUGGCCAUCCAUCCAUGCCUCGUCUGCAUCUUCGAUCCAGACAUGAGAGCCGACGACAAAGCGGCUUUUGGUUUUGGACGCCUGCAGCAACGACGACAAGAUUGACAUUAAUCUACAUUCCCUUUUAUCAGUUAUGGCUGAAAUUAAUCCGCAUCACAAGAUGUUUCAAGAUGUUCCAGAUGUGGGCGUUGUUGAAUAAAGAACCAAAAUUCGGCUAAGGAGCGUUGAUCGCGUCGGGGCAUUUCAUCAAACAGUUGUUGAGGCCACGCCAAAGGGGUCGCAUUUGGGGCCAAGAACCGAUUUUGACCCGGCGGAUUGAAUGGAGGGGAAGAAGGAUGGGAUGCGGUACCAUUGUCGGUGGGGCGCGGCUGGGCGACGAUGAGAAGAGAUCAGAGGGAGGCCGGCCGCAUCAACUCCGUCCCGCGGCGGCAGGCCGAAUGCGAGCGGUGCCGGUCGAACGGCGGCCGCACCACCACCGCACCGCAGCACGCGACCGCGACGGGGAAUGUGGGGGGAGAAUGAAUGAAAUCCUAGGGAGCAGGGUCGAAUCCACGGCGAGCGAGCAUUGCCGUCCGUCGACAGCAACGCGGUGGUGGUGGUGGUGGCGAGAUUUCCUUGGGCUCGCUCUGGUUGUGGAGCUCCCUUACUUUUUUUAGCAGCGGGUGUGGGGAGGAGGGGGAAGUGGUGGUGGUCAUGGGAUGCAAUGCAAGAAUGGAGGAGCCGCCCCCGCACCCCCGCGCCAUUGCCAUUGCCACACACCGAGAAGAAUGCGGGAUGCUCUUCCCUCACACACAAACCAGCACAUGCCACUUUCCCUUCCCCCUCUCUCUCUCUCAUGGGUGGGUGGGUUCUCUUGGGCCGGCCCGCCGGGCCCGUGGGCCGGCAUUCAUUAAAGCUGGCCAUAUGGGCCGUGUCAUGCGGGCCGGCCCGUGGUCAGGGAAAUUUGGCCCGACACGCGGUUAAAAGGGCUGGGUCGGCCUUUGGCCCACCAUGGGACAAAGGCCAAUCUCGAAAGCCGGUCCUUAAGGCCGGACACAACACGUCUUUUCUAAUUGUGGGCCAGCACGACACGGCCUGACGCGGUAUGCGGCCCAUCUGGCUUGUAACUAAGAUUUUCUUUUCCAUUUUUAUAUUUUGUAUUAAAAAAAUCUUUUUUCCCUGUUUUUUCUUCUUAAUUUUUUAGAUUUUUUCGAAUCUAAAAGACAAAAGGCCUAAAGGCCUAAAGGCCCACCAGGCCAAAAAGCAAUGCAGGUCGGCAUGCAGCAAGGUCGUGUCGGGCCAAUCCCCAUGGCCAGGUCUUUGGGCUGGCACGACACGACCCUCUACAAAUGGGUCGACACAGGUUGUGCGUGCUAGGCCUUUUUACAAACGAGUAGUGUUGGGUCGGCCAGGGCAUGUGGCCAGAUUUGGUCGGCGUCCUGGACCUUUGAUGGGCUUUCCCUAGCCCUUUGCCCCCCAAAGCCCAAAAUAUUAUUUAACAAAAUCACCGCAUUCACUUCGUCAUCAUCAGACAUCACACAACGGGCUAGAAUAUGUCACUAUACAAAAGAAUGAAAAAUUGGAGGAAGAGUAUCAAGUUGAAGGAAGAGAGAUAGUGCUAAGAGACUUGCCCUUGUGGUGACUGGCUCUUGUUACUCUCCCUCUCCUGAGGUCUCCUCCACCCCAUUCGCUGUCGGCCUCUCUCUCUCUCUCUCUCUCUCUCUCUCUCUCCUUUGGUUGUCUAGGAUGGAGAGAGUGGUCUGGUUCUUGUGUGUGUUAUGUAGGCCGUCUUUCUUAAUGAAUAAACUAGAUCUGUUGUGUGCUCUCAUCCUUACGGUGGUCUUGACUGUGGCCAUGGAGGUUGGAUUGGCGACCGACCAGUGUGGGGCACCUGGCUGGAUCCGAGGCGCUGGUUUAUUAUAAUAAAUCUGCUCGUCAAUGCCUGGAUGAAUUUGAUAACUACAAUGUUAAGCAAGAACAUUUUAAUAUGUAUGUUAGCAAACAACUAAAACAUAAUGCUCUCAUGAUUGAUCGUUUGAGUGAUUUGAUAUUGAGAAUUGCUAGUAAUGUUAAGGGCUUAAGUAAGCAUUCAUCCAUGGUACAUUCUCAACUAGAACAAAUUGCUAAGUCACAGAAUAAUUUGCUCAACAAAAUGAAUGAUCAUGUUGUUAUGGUAAUGAAUAGAGGAGGUAAAAUGACCCAGGAUCCUCUAUAUCCUGAAGGUCAUCCUAAGAGAAUUGGGCAAGAUUUUCAGAGAAUUAAUAUUGAUGUGCCUAGUUCAUCUAAGAAGAAAAAGAAAAAGAAAGAUGAUAGAACUUUGCAUGCUUCUAGUGAACCUAUGGUAGAAAAACCUUCUGAGAAUAACAAUGAUGUUUCUAUUUCUGAUGCUGAGAAACAAUCUGGCAAUGAACAUACACCUAGUGAUAAUGACGAUGUCCAUAUUAAUGCCCAACCAGAUAAUAAUGAUAGAAAUAGAACAUGUUGUUGAUCUUGAUAACCCGCCUCCUAAGAAUAAAGGAUAUAAUAUAAAUGAUUUCAUUGCUAGAAAACAUGGUAAGGAAAGAGAGCCAUGGGUUUAAAAACCUAUGUGUUUUCCUAUUAAACCUUCAAAAAAAUAAGGAUGAGGGAGAUUUUGAAAGCUUUGUUGAAAUGCUUAGGCUAGUCUUUUUGCGUACUCGUUUGGCUGAUAUAUUGAAAAUGCCUCCAUAUGCUAAAUACAUGAAAGAUAUUGUCACAAAUAAAAGAAAGAUACCUGAAACUGGAAUUUCCGCCAUGUUUGCAAAUUGAUCUUUUAAGGGUGGACUCCCUAAGAAGUUAGGAGAUCCAGGAAUACCCACUAUACCAUGCUCCAUUAAAAAAAGUUAUGUGAAAACUACCUUAUGUGAAUUAGGAGCCGGUGUUAGUGUUAUGCCUUUCUCAUUAUAUUCUAGUGAUGGGCUUCCUCAAAUGCCCGAGGUGUUCAUGAGCAAGCAAAUUGAAUGCACACCCGCUUAGUCGUCACGUUGAGAUUUCAUACACUUAUAGCCCUUAGCGCAUCCGUUACAUGGCGAUCCCUACUGCUCGCAUUGACAUCAAUUAAUGGGCAUCUUCAUAGCCCGUCGAUUAGCCGCGUUGAUGUCAGACUAUCUUCCUUUUUGACUUCCCCUUAUUGAUCUCUACCACCACAUUCUAUUUCACAAAUAGUGCUAUAUCCAUGGCUUGCGCUCAUGUAUUUCGUGAGGGUUGAAAAAGCUGAAGCGCGUUAAAAAGUAUGAACCAAUUACUCGACUUGACAUCGGGGUUGUGCAUGAUAAAUACUUUGUGUUAAGAAGAUGGAGCAUGACAAGACUAUAUGAUUUUUUAGGGAUAACGUUCUUUAGCAUUUUUUGUUUUGAAAGGCAUGAUUAUUUGUUAGUAUGCUUGAGUAUUGAUGUCUUUAUGUCAAAUUAUAGAAAAUUCGGGAAGUGGUCUCCAAAUUGGGAAGGUCUUUUCAAGAUCAUAAGAGUGGUUCCCAGAAACUCGUAUUUGAUUGAAUCCAUUCAAGGAAUGUUGCUACCUCGAGCUCUCAACGGCAAGUAUUUAAAGAAGUAUCGCCCAAGUGUGUGGCAAGAAGCCUAAAUAGGCAACAACCAAUAUAUGAUUAUCGCCUAAGCAAAGACAUGACCGAUAUAUAACUAUCAUCCUAAGCAAAUACAUGACCGACAUAUAAUUAUCGCCUAAACACAUAUAAAUGGCCGAUGGAGUUUUGACAUCGUCCUUAGAUCAAGCUUUGUGCAAGUUAUUUUUUUGGCAUGCAAGCUUUGCCAAAAAAAUGGGGGCAAGUGUUCACACCAGAUUAUGGUACGGUCAAAAAUGUAAUUAAAAUGACCUCAAAUAGAAAAGUUCUCAACAUAUGAUAGUUCCGUAUGGUCGAAAUGAGAAACUUUGAUGUUUGAGUCAUCAACGUCCGAUCUCAUGUAAAGGGCCGAAACUGUGCUCAAAGUAAUAAGAUUUUUGCGACUCAGAGUACUGUUCGGCUAAUUACACCUCCAAGAGUGCCUUAUAUGAGAAAACUUUGUACAUGAAUUGUUUUCGUCUCGUCAAAAUGGUCGAUUUUGGUAUAAACAUCGUGUUAAUCCGGGGUCGUAUGCAAAAGUUAAGAGAUAUCGGAGUGGGCCUACUAUGAGGCAAGAUAUGGCGGUGUCUGAUGGGUAGCACCACAGAUUUGCUGUUUUGCGCGAGAGAUUCGGCGCUCUAGAUGGCUUUGAAUCGAAAAAUACUCAACAUGAAAGUUGUUAGCCUCGUCGAAACGAAUAAAUAUGCUUUUGGGCUAAUUUCCAUCGAAGGUCAUUUACUGCCUCAAAAUUGACCCAUAAGAUGCAGCCAGGUUAUGAACCGAACACUUUGGGAAAGUUCGGAUUUUGAGUUGGACCGAAACUAGGGUUUUAAACGUGAGUUUUAACUUUUCCUUGCAUGAGAAGUCCAACCGCCUCUUACAUAUAUGAGGGGUGAUGGCCGAUUGAAACAAUAACACACAAUUGCAAACCAUAUACCAUUUUUUCAUCUAUGUUUUAUGUCCCCCUCGUUCUUCGUCGUUCUUUGUGUUGGAGAGCUGCGAAUCCUGAGGCUCUAGGGGCGGGUUGACCGACCUAAGGCACCCCAUAGCCUCUGCAUUCCCCGAUGGGGUCCCUCCCGAGAGUGUGGGGUUUCGGGUCCUCGAAAUUUCUCGCCGGCCGACUUGCGAAUUGCGCUUCUGGUGAGACUCCUUCAAUGUGAGUUGUGGUGCAUCACUCCCGACGCUGAGGGUACACGUGACGUGUUCGUGUGCGAAUAAGGGUACACAUAUUUAUCACAUAGUACGUUUCCAACACACUUAGUUGCAGCCACACUGAAUAUUAUAGACAUGCAUUUGUAGUGGGCCGACAUUUCCAAUUGUGUGCGCAGUGGCACACAUACUACGGUCACCUUUCCUCAACAAAAUAUCACAAAAUUGCAAUUGGGUCCUAGUGUCAGACAGCAACUGCCCCUUUGUGAGGAAAACACCACACAGUACCAAUCGCGUUAAAGACACGCAAUNNNNNNNNNNNNNNNNNNNNNNNNNNNNNNNNNNNNNNNNNNNNNNNNNNNNNNNNNNNNNNNNNNNNNNNNNNNNNNNNNNNNNNNNNNNNNNNNNNNNNNNNNNNNNNNNNNNNNNNNNNNNNNNNNNNNNNNNNNNNNNNNNNNNNNNNNNNNNNNNNNNNNNNNNNNNNNNNNNNNNNNNNNNNNNNNNNNNNNNNNNNNNNNNNNNNNNNNNNNNNNNNNNNNNNNNNNNNNNNNNNNNNNNNNNNNNNNNNNNNNNNNNNNNNNNNNNNNNNNNNNNNNNNNNNNNNNNNNCCUACUGGUCGGCUUGCAACUGCCCCUCCUGAUAAAAUACCACAAAUUUAAAGUCAGGGCACGAUACUUACAGUCAUGUGCCUAAUGGUAUACAUGCAACUGCCCCUUUGUUGGUGUCAAAACCGGCGGAUCUUAGGUAGGGGGUCCCGAACUGUGCGUCUAAGAUCGAUGGUAACAGGAGACGGGGGACACGAUGUUUACCCUGGUUUGGGCCCUCUCUAUGGAGGUAAUACCCUACUUCCUGCUUGAUUGAUCUUGAUGAAUAUGAGUACUACAAGAGUUGAUCUACCACGAGAUUGUAAUGGCUAAACCCUAGAAGUCUAGCCUGUAUGAUUAUGAUUGUAUCCUACGGAGUAAACACUCCGGUUUAUAUAGACACCGGAGGGGAUUAGGAUUAUACAAAGUCGGCUACAGAGAAAAGAAUCUUCAUAUCCAAACGCCAAGAUUGCCUUCCACGCCAAGUAGAGUCCCAUCCGGACACGGGAUGAAGUCUUCGGUCCUGUAUCUUCAUAGCCCAUCAGUGCGGUCCAUGUCAUAUAGUCCGGCUGUCCAAGAACCCUUAAUCCAGGAGUCCCUCACCCCUUCCCCAAUGAAACACCAAAUAGUUGCAGCGGUGUGGGACACUUACAGUUGUGUGCUUAGUGCUAGGCAUGCAAAUACCCCCACCCUAAAGAACAAACUGCUAAGUAGCAGUCGUGUUGAGGACAUACAAUUGUAGUCGAGGGCGAUUGUGCAACCAAAUGGUAAUAUUUUAAAUGAAAAUGGAAUUAUUGUUUAUUCAGAAAAUAAGAUUUGAAAAAUGUAGUAGUAAUGUAAAAAUAAGUAAAAAGAAAAAACAGGAUAAAGAUGAAAAAACAACACCAGAACAUAGACCAAAAAAAUCAUUUCAAACGCUUAUACAAGAAAAUAAAAUAAAGUGAAGAAAUAUACAAAUUAGUUAGCCCCGAAGUAAGAUGCGUCUCUUAGGACCGCAAAUGUUAUACUAAGAGACGUAUGCUUUCUCAGUAUGCUUUCUCAUUAUCUAGCCCAUUUCCAUCGUAUUUUUUCUCAUUGACUGGCUUCUAUCGAGGUCGCUGGUAUCAUUUUCUGUCUUUCUUUGUUUUUGAUCUGUUUGUUCUUUCUCUAUUUUUACUAGUUUUUUCUUUCUCCGUUUUUCUUUGUCGAUUCUCACGGGUUUUCAAACAUACAUAUAGUUUUCAACACACAAUAUUCAUUCUUAGUACACAAUGUAAAUGCGAAACAUUUAUACACUGAAUUUUUAUUAUAUACAUUUUUGUUUAAUGCAUGUUUUAAACACUUUCUGAAUAUAUGGUCAAAAUAUUUUUAAAUAGACAUUGAACAUUUUUAAGAUAAUAAACAGUUUUCUAAAACUAUGCAAACAUUUUUUACAUUGUAAUCAAUAUUUUUUAUAUGUCACAAAUAUUUUUUUAAACUCGAGAACAUUUCUUUAAAAUGCCACAUACAUAUUUUCUGUGGUAUAAAACCUUUUUUUGUUCUCUUUCAAAAUAGAAGUUAUACAACACAAAACAUUUUUUACAUUGUAUAAACGUUUUCACAUUUUUUUGGGGCCUGUAGGGCACAUCUUGACAGACCCUUGUUUGGGUAUGUCACAUUUUCUUUUUACGAAUGUUUGGGCUUACGUACAGCAUGCAGCUUCGAGACCCUGUUGCCCGGCCCGGCCGUGUCCUGUCCUCGCAGAAGCACAAGACUGUACCGUACAUCAUCGCUCUGCAUGUGGGACACGUAGACGUACGUGCGGCCACAGAUUGAAGAAUUUUUCUUUUUAUAUAGUGAUUGAAGAACUUGAUUUUAUACGGGUGCCCAUUCGCUGAGCACGCCGCACCGCACAAUACACAUCCAUGCGUAUACGUUUCCAGAUUAGUUUGUAUGUACUGAGCAAGCAGCUAAAAGAAGCUUCUGCGAGCGCGCUGCCGAUCGGAGAAAGAAGACGGUUGCACUUGAGUUGCAUGCAUGGGCACAUCACAAUUGGAAGUAGAGUAGUACGUACUAAAUUAAACAAGUGCAGCCGUUCAUCCACAUCCAGACAUGCAUUGUCUGGUCGGAGAAGAAGCACAUAAACACACACACACACACACACACACACACGCUAAGAAGAACCAUACUGCAGUACCACACAUGUACGCAUGCACCGUACGUCGUCCCUACAAAAAAGAACACUAGUACAUGCCUACCGUGAACACAAACCCACCAGGUAUGCGUACAACGUACGGUCACACACACACAUACAUACAUACACCUUAUUAUCCGCCCGUCACUGUCACCGCCGAUUGAGGCGAUGGAGCAUACCCGAUUCAGACCCUGGCGACGCCGCCGGUGCCCAUUCCCUUGUUGUGCGGGUCGCCGGCGCCGUACGCGUGCUCCGCCGGAUACCCGCCAGCAUGGUUACCACCGAACUGGUUGCCGAAGAGGCCAGAGUGCAGCGCUAUCACGUACAGCAGCUGCGUGAAGGCCAGGAUAAUGACGAACGCCUCCAGCACCCGGAGGCGCCACCCGCGGUACCCGCCGAUGUGGAUCUCCUUGCACGCCAGCCCGAACGCCAAGGCGGUGACCGCCCACGCCACCAGCGAGGAGGACGCAGAGGUGGCGAGGCUGUCCCCGCGCCAGGUGCGGACGUGGUGCACGCCGGCGAGCUUGGAAGCGGCGCCAACGACCCCGGCUAGGAUGGCGAAGACGAGGAAGUAGAAGGUGGCGCCGUUGCCGCCGACGCCGGGGCGGUUGGUGAGGCCGUUGAUGAAGUGGUUGAGGUUCCAGCUGGCGAAGCCGAUGACGAUGAGGUAC